UGUUUGUAAGUUUUUUUGUUUUACGAAGUUUUGGAUUCUAGUAUUAGUACGGUAACUCAAAUUCAUUCGUCCCAUUUACCAAGAUAACACUGACACGUGGACUCUGAAGAAUUUCGUCCGCUGUAUUGAUUGCAUAUUUUUCAACGUCCCUCUCGAGAUGUUUUCACUCAUAUGGAGACGUUCGCCCGUUGGAAGGGAACGUAUCUAGCUGUCCAGCUUCUACAUGUGCAUCCUGUGGUACGUAAUACAGUGUCAUCAUAUUUACUUAGGUCAGUGCCUUAUACAUUUCUACAAAAAUAAACAACAUAGAUCUGAA